CAGUAGCCGCGGGAAUACGUAGGGUGCGAGCGUUAAUCGGAAUUACUGGGCGUAAAGCGUGCGCAGGCGGUUUUGUAAGACAGGCGUGAAAUCCCCGGGCUCAACCUGGGAAUGGCGCUUGUGACUGCAAAGCUAGAGUGCGGCAGAGGGGGAUGGAAUUCCGCGUGUAGCAGUGAAAUGCGUAGAUAUGCGGAGGAACACCGAUGGCGAAGGCAAUCCCCUGGGCCUGCACUGACGCUCAUGCACGAAAGCGUGGGGAGCAAACAGGAUUAGAUACCCCGGUAGUCCCUGUCUCUUAUAC
rnacentral:rRNA from 1 species